CCCCUGGAAGAAGAGGACUGCUUA
rnacentral:piRNA from 1 species